GUAGAGUUCAUUGUUCCAGUGUUGGGCUACUGCAGCUUGAAGAAUAAACAUUGUGAAGAGAUUUUAUCUAUGUAAUUCAAACAAUGUGAAAUAAAAUCUGUAAAUCACAGCUGCUAGCAUUCACGGUUGUCUUUGCUUUCACAGCUUUAAUAACAUUUAUCAUUCACCUACUUUUAGGAGCAUUAUUACAAUGCAGAAGAUGGAAGUGGGUAUCUGGCUUGGAGACUGAAGUUUGUCCAGAGGGAAGCUUUAAUGGACAAAAGAAGGUCCCCAGACUAUUACAGACCCAAACAGGGGGACCAACAACUGAUGGAGACUGUUUGAGAGAAGAAGACUGCCUUAUGACAGAUAGCUUGUGUUCUGAGGCCAUUGCGCUGAUGAAGGAACUGUUAUGAGGAAGAUGAAACAGACUUUCAGCUAUCGCCGGAAGAUGAUUCGUGACCCAGUGAAGUCACCUAGUAUCUUUUUGGACUUCCCAAGAUUCCUGGACAUAGGAGGAUUGGUUGAGCAAGAUUUUACAUUGAUGUUUGGGGAAGCCAUCUCUGCAAAGUUUCUGGAGAAGUGGCCCACUGUCUAAAAGCAGAAAGGCCUCAAACAAAGCCGUGGUCUCACACAGUCUGAUGACCUUGAGAACCUUCUUGACAAUGCUGAAGGCACAACAGAAGUGGAAAAUGGUAAGUUGCAAUGACUUAUAAAGAAAGUGUUUAAUGAAACAGGAGCACCUUGAUGGCAUCGCAGAAAGCCGUCAACCAUACCUGCUUGCAGUAGGGACUCUGAGGAGCGUGAUUCACAAGUACUUCAUUGUGAUUGACAAACACAGCUUUCAGUUGGCAUACAUUUGACCCCAAGAGACUGACCAUUGGACCAGGUAAAAUGGUGCCUUUAAAUUCACUGGACUGGGGCUGUGAGAUAGCAGAGACUCUUCAGUUACCAAUCAACACCAAGGUAUUAAAUGUUAAAUGGGCCAAACAUCAUGGAGAUAUGUAUCGUGCAGAUUUAGUUGUUUGUAAAGAAGUUUUUUGUGAAAUUGCAGUUUUCCAUAAGAUCUACAACGUUUUUGUGAAAGAUGACAGGUUACUGUUUGUUACAUUUGCUCUGCAAACAGUGUGUCUGAAUGAGCAUUUCAGUGCUUUACAAGUUUUGUGUACAAGAGACGGACCUCCUGUUAUUUAUGUAGAAGAGCUUUACUGUUACAGAGCUUUUGAUUUACAGGUGUCAUACAGUCAUGAAGAUGCAAAUGUUUAUAUUGUUCCAUAGUGUUUCUUGUGAGCAAUAAAAAUGGCAGUUCAAUUACUGA